GGGAGUCGUUGCUCGCCAUAGAUGUAGCUUGUGACAAAGUGGCUGGACCACAGAUAUGAAUCCAGGAAGCUGAAAGGGAGCUCUUUCAGGCCAGGAUGGAGGAUACUCCCAGCAUCCCCUAUGGUCAGAUGCAUGGGUCCUUGGAGCACUCAGGGACCAGCCUGAAACCUGGUGCAGGCAGGACCACCCCUUCGCUCCGUUGUCAAGGUCCAGAUGUCCCUGGWGUCCAACAGGGCUUGACUACAGCAGGCACUUAAUAUGUGCUAACUCCGUGCAUCCCCCCUCCUUUUUCCUAAGUGGAUUAUGCAUCUGCUCCUCAGGACUGAUCUUCAACCUGUCAGCUACUCCCCAGCAUCAUCCAAACUGCUCUGAAAACCACCUUUCCAAAAUGCAGAGCCAGCAGUGUCACUGCCCCACUCAAAAUGCUCUCAACAGCUCCCCACUGCCU
rnacentral:misc_RNA from 1 species